AAAUUGAAGAGUUUGAUCAUGGCUCAGAUUGAACGCUGGCGGCAGGCCUAACACAUGCAAGUCGAACGGUAACAGGAAGAAGCUUGCUUCUUUGCUGACGAGUGGCGGACGGGUGAGUAAUGUCUGGGAAACUGCCUGAUGGAGGGGGAUAACUACUGGAAACGGUAGCUAAUACCGCAUAACGUCGAAAGACCAAAGAGGGGGACCUUCGGGCCUCUUGCCAUCGGAUGUGCCCAGAUGGGAUUAGCUUGUUGGUGGGGUAA
rnacentral:rRNA from 1 species